ACUCAAAGGAAUAGACGGGGGCCCGCACAAGCAGCGGAGCGUGUGGUUUAAUUCGACGCAACACGCAGAACCUUACCCAGGCUUGACAUGCACCUGCAAGUCGCGGAAACGCGGCUGCCUUCGAGGGUGGUGCACCGGUGCUGCAUGGCUGUCGUCAGCUCGUGUCGUGAGAUGUUGGGUUAAGUCCCGCAACGAGCGCAACCCUUGCCCCAUGUUAGAUCUGUCAUGGGGGACUGCCGGUGCGUUGCAUCGGAGGAAGGCGGGGAUGACGUCAAGUCCGCAUGGCCCUGACGCCUGGGGCGACACACACGCUACAAUGGCCGGCGGAGCGCGCUGCGACGGGGCAACCCGGAGCCAAUCGCCAAGGUCGGUCUCAGUGCAGAUUGGGGGCUGCAACUCGCCCCCAUGAAGGCGGAGUUGCUAGUAACCGCGUGUCAGCAGAGCGCGGUGAAUACGUACCCGGGCCUUGUACACACCGCCCGU
rnacentral:rRNA from 1 species